AACGAACGCUGGCGGCAGGCCUAGCACAUGCAAGUCGAACGCCGUAGCAAUACGGAGUGGCAGACGGGUGAGUAACACGUGGGAACGUACCCUUCGGUUCGGGAUAACUCAGGGAAACUUGAGCUAAUACCGGAUACGUCCGAGAGGAGAAAGAUUUAUUGCCGAGGGAUCGGCCCNCGUCUGAUUAGCUUGUUGGUGAGGUAAUGGCUCACCAAGGCACGAUCAGUAGCNGGUCUGAGAGGAUGAUCAGCCACAUUGGACUGAGACACGGCCCAAACUCCUACGGGAGGCAGCAGUGGGAAUAUUGGACAAUGGGCGCAAGCCUGAUCCAGCCACGCCGCGUGAGUGAUGAAGGCCCUAGGGUUGUAAAGCUC
rnacentral:rRNA from 1 species